AUUGAACGCUGGCGGCAUGCUUUACACAUGCAAGUCGAACGGUAACAGGCCGCAAGGUGCUGACGAGUGGCGAACGGGUGAGUAAUGCAUCGGAACGUGCCCAGUCGUGGGGGAUAACUACUCGAAAGAGUAGCUAAUACCGCAUACGAUCUAUGGAUGAGAGCGGGGGACCGUAAGGCCUCGCGCGAUUGGAGCGGCCGCUGUCAGAUUAGGUAGUUGGUGGGGUAAAGGCUCACCAGGCCCACGAUCUGUAGCUGGUCUGAGAGGACGACCAGCCACACUGGGACUGAGACACGGCCCAGAGUCCUACGGGAGGCAGCAGUGGGGAAUGUUGGACAAUGGGCGCAAGCCUGAUCCAGCAAUGCCGCGUGCAGGAAGAAGGCCUUCGGGUUGUAAACUGCUUUUGUACGGAACGAAACGGCUCUGGUUAAUACCCGGGGCUAAUGACGGUACCGUAAGAAUAAGCACCGGCUAACUACGUG
rnacentral:rRNA from 1 species